GAUGAACGCUGGCGGCGUGCCUAAUACAUGCAAGUCGAGCGAACGGACGAGAAGCUUGCUUCUCUGAUGUUAGCGGCGGACGGGUGAGUAACACGUGGAUAACCUACCUAUAAGACUGGGAUAACUUCGGGAAACCGGAUCUAAUACCGGAUAAUAUUUUGAACCGCAUGGUUCAAAAGUGAAAGACGGUCUUGCUGUCACUUAUAGGUGGAUCCGCGCUGCAUUAGCUAGUUGGUAAGGUAACGGCUUACCAAGGCAACGAUGCAUAGCCGACCUGAGAGGGUGAUCGGCCACACUGGAACUGAGACACGGUCCAGACUCCUACGGGAGGCAGCAGUAGGGAAUCUUCCGCAAUGGGCGAAAGCCUGACGGAGCAACGCCGCGUGAGUGAUGAAGGUCUUCGGAUCGUAAAACUCUGUUAGUAGGGAAGAACAUAUGUGUAAGUAACUGUGCACAUCUUGACGGUACCUAAUCAGAAAGCCACGGCUAACUACGUG
rnacentral:rRNA from 1 species